rnacentral:rRNA from 1 species
CGUGAAGACUCUACUUGACUAGCUGAGAGGAGGUGCAUGGCCGUCGUCAGUUCGUACUGUGAAGCAUCCUGUUAAGUCAGGCAACGAGCGAGACCCACGCCAACAGUUGCCAGCAUGUCCUCCGGGAUGAUGGGGACACUGUUGGGACCGCCUCUGCUAAAGAGGAGGAAGGAAUGGGCAACGGUAGGUCAGCAUGCCCCGAAUUAUCCGGGCUACACGCGGGCUACAAUGGUCAGGACAAUGGGUAUCGACACCGAGAGGUGGAGGCAAUCUCCUAAACCUGUCCUUAGUUCGGAUUGUGGGCUGCAACUCGCCCACAUGAAGCUGGAAUCCGUAGUAAUCGCGUUUCAAAAUAGCGCGGUGAAUAUGUCCCUGCUCCUU